rnacentral:rRNA from 1 species
GAUGAACGCUGGCGGCGUGCCUAAUACAUGCAAGUCGAGCGAACGGACGAGAAGCUUGCUUCUCUGAUGUUAGCGGCGGACGGGUGAGUAACACGUGGAUAACCUACCUAUAAGACUGGGAUAACUUCGGGAAACCGGAGCUAAUACCGGAUAAUAUUUUGAACCGCAUGGUUCAAAAGUGAAAGACGGUCUUGCUGUCACGUAUAGAUGGAUCCGCGCUGCAUUAGCUAGUUGGUAAGGUAACGGCUUACCAAGGCAACGAUGCAUAGCCGACCUGAGAGGGUGAUCGGCCACACUGGAACUGAGACACGCUCCAGACUCCUACGGGAGGCAGCAGUAGGGAAUCUUCCGCAAUGGGCGAAAGCCUGACGGAGCAACGCCGCGUGAGUGAUGAAGGUCUUCGGAUCGUAAAACUCUGUUAUUAGGGAAGAACAUAUGUGUAAGUAACUGUGCACAUCUUGACGGUACCUAAUCAGAAAGCCACGGCUAACUACGUG